rnacentral:tRNA from 1 species
GACUCGGUAGCUUAGUUGGUGAAGCACUUGCCUAGCAUGUAACACUCGUUGGUUCGAAUCCCACCUGUUCA